rnacentral:lncRNA from 1 species
CGCGCAGGCGCGGAGCGAGAGGAAGAUGGCGGCCCCCCUGGACUUGGAGCUGAAGAAGGCCUUCACGGAGCUGCAGGCCAAGGUGAUCGACACGCAGCAGAAGGUGAAGCUCGCCGACAUCCAGAUCGAGCAGCUGAGCAAGACCAAGAAGCACGCGCACCUCACUGACACCGAGAUCAUGACGCUGGUGGACGAGACCCGCAUGUACGAGGGCGUGGGCAGGAUGUUUAUUCUUCAGUCUAAAGGAGUCAUUCAUAAUCAGCUUUUAGAAAAGCAGAGAAUAGCAGAAGAGAAAAUUAAGGAAUUAGAGUUAAUUUAGCAGACCCCUUAUAGCUCUGUUGUUGAUACAGCCCAGCAACUCUGAGGAGGUUUCAGAGGGAACAAAAUUCAGUCUGUGUGACCACUGCCCAGCCAGAAAGCAGAAGAAGUCGUACCUGGAACGGAGCGUGAAGGAAGCAGAAGAUAACAUUAGGGAGAUGCUGAUGGCCCGGAGGGCACAGUAGAUGCGAUUUCCUGUUGGGCCAUGGAUGGACCUGUGCCGCCCUCUGGGUGAUGCUGGCAGCUCUGCUGUGAUGGCUGUUACCUGGCAGAUCUAAUAAACCCUGCUGCAAAGCCCAUGUCAGCUC